rnacentral:rRNA from 1 species
UACAGAGGUCUCAAGCGUUGUUCGGAUUCAUUGGGCGUAAAGGGCGCGUAGGCUGCGGGGUAAGUCGGGUGUGAAAUCUCAGAGCUCAACUCUGAAACUGCACUCGAUACUGCUCUGCUCGAGGACUGGAGAGGAGACUGGAAUUCACGGUGUAGCAGUGAAAUGCGUAGAUAUCGUGAGGAAGACCAGUGGCGAAGGCGGGUCUCUGGACAGUUCCUGACGCUGAGGCGCGAAGGCCAGGGGAGCAAACGGG